UACGGAGGGUGCAAGCGUUAUCCGGAUUCACUGGGUUUAAAGGGUGCGUAGGUGGGUUGGUAAGUCGAGUGGUGAAAUCUCCGAGCUUAACUUGGAAACUGCCAUUGAUACUAUCAGUCUUGAAUAUUGUGGAGGUCAGCGGAAUAUGUCAUGUAGCGGUGAAAUGCUUAGAUAUGACAUAGAACACCAAUUGCGAAGGCAGCUGGCUACACAUAUAUUGACACUGAGGCACGAAAGCGUGGGGAUCAAACAGG
rnacentral:rRNA from 1 species